rnacentral:rRNA from 1 species
ACGAACGCUGGCGGCGUGGAUAAGACAUGCAAGUCGAGCGCUGAUUUGAGGGUAGCAAUAUUUUCAAAUUGGAGCGGCGCAAGGGGUGCGUAACACGUGGGAAUCUGCCUUGAAGUGCGGGGAUAACUCCGAGAAAUCGGAGCUAAUACCGCAUGUGAUCGAAAGAUUAAAGUUGGGGGACCGUAAGGCCUGACGCUUCAAGAUGAGCCCGCGGCCCUAUCAGCUAGUUGGUGAGGUAAUGGCUCACCAAGGCCUAAGACGGGUAGCUGGUCUGAGAGGACGACCAGUCACACUGGAACUGAGACACGGUUUCCAGACAACCUACGGGUGGCAGCAGUCGAGAAUUUUUCUCAAUGGGCGAAAAGCCUGAAGGAGCGACGCCGCGUGGGGGAUGAAUGGCUUCGGCCCGUAAAACCCCUGUCAUUUGUGAACAAAUUGUUUCACCUAACACGUGAAGCAUUGAUUGUAGCGGAAGAGGAAGGGACGGCUAACUCUGUGCCAGCAAGCCGCGGGUAAUACAGAGGUCUCAAGCGUUGUUCGGAUUCACUGGGCGUAAAGGGUGCGUAGGCGGUCGGGUAAGGUCUGACGUGAAAUCUCCAAGCUUAACCUUGGAAAACUGCGUUGGAUACUAUCCGGCUCGAGGGAAUGGAGGGGAGACUGGAAUACUUGGUGUAGCAGUGAAAUGCGUAGAUAUCAAGUGGAACACCAGUUGGCGAAGGCGAGUUCUCUGGACAUUUCCUGACGCUGAGGCACGAAAGCCAGGGGAGCAAACGGGAUUAGAUACCCCGGGUAGUUCCUGGCCCUAAACGGUGCGCGUUUGCUGUGAGUGGAAUCGACCCCCGCUCGUGGCGAAAGUUAAACACGUUAAAAUACGCGCCGGCCUGGGAAAUACGGCCGCAAGGUUAAAAACUCCAAAGAAAUUGACGGGGGGCCUGCACAAGCGGUGGGAGUAUGUGGCUUUAAUUCGAUGCAAACGCGAAGAAACCUUAACCUGGCCUUGAACAUGCAAGUAGUAGAAGGAUGAAAAGUCUGACGAGGGUAGCAAUACCAGCUUGCACAGGUGCUUGCAUGGCUGUCGUCAGCUUCGUGUCCGUGAGAUGAUUGGGGUUUAAGUCCCCGCAACGAGCGCAACCCCUGUGUCCUGUUGCUACUCUUAAUUGAGAGCACUCUGGACAGACUGCCUCGCUUCAACGAGGAGGAAAGGUGGGGAUGACGUCAAGUCAGUAUGGCCCUUACGGGCCAGGGCUGCACACGUAACUACAAUGCCCGACACAAAGGGAAAGCAAGACUGUUAAAGUGGAGCAAAUCCUUAAAAUCGGGCCCAGUUCAGAUUGUCGUCUGCAACUCGACGGCAUGAAGCUGGAAUCGCUAGUAAUGGCGCAUCAGCUUACGGCGCCGUGAAUACGUUUCCCAGGCCUUGUACACACCGCCCGUCACAUCAUGAAAGCCGGUUGCACCCGAAGCCGCCACCUUAAAAAGGUUGUCGAAGGUAUGACUGGUGAUUGGGAUG